GCCCGGGUGCUGGAAUAGGUAGACAGUCAACACUUAAAAUGUUGUGAGGUUUUCCUCGUGUGGGUUCGAGUCCCACCCCGGGCA
rnacentral:tRNA from 1 species